rnacentral:rRNA from 1 species
GAUGAACGCUAGCGGGAGGCCUAACACAUGCAAGCCGAGCGGUAGAGUCUCUUCGGAGACUUGAGAGCGGCGCACGGGUGCGGAACACGUGUGCAACCUGCCUUUAUCUGGGGGAUAGCCUUUCGAAGGGAAGAUUAAUACCCCAUAAUAUACUGGAUGGCAUCAUCUGGUAUUGAAAACUCCGGUGGAUAGAGAUGGGCACGCGCGAGAUUAGAUAGUUGGUGAGGUAACGGCUCACCAAGUCAGCGAUCUUUAGGGGGCCUGAGAGGGUGAUCCCCCACACUGGUACUGAGACACGGACCAGACUCCUACGGGAGGCAGCAGUGAGGAAUAUUGGACAAUGGGUGAGAGCCUGAUCCAGCCAUCCCGCGUGAAGGACGACGGCCCUAUGGGUUGUAAACUUCUUUUGUAUAGGGAUAAACCUAGAUACGUGUAUCUAGCUGAAGGUACUAUACGAAUAAGCACCGGCUAACUCCGUG